UGGAAUUCUCACUCUUCCUAGGACACUUGGCAUGCCAGUGAGAUUGUCUUUGUGUAUCCAUACAGUAAAUAUUAAAGUUGAACUCCUUUCACUUUUAAGAGAAAGAGAUAACUGUUUUAUUAUUUUUUCCUCAUACACCAGUAGAUCAUUUUACCCAAACCCUGGAACAUCACAUUCAGGAAUGAGGAGGAAUAUCUCACCCUCACCUCCCCCUUUAGAGACCUGUGGUCUAAUCCUUUGCUGGAAACUAAUGCUGACAAAUGGUGUUAAAUGGCCACAUAGGACCUCCCAUAAGGGCUCCUGAAAGGUACAUCCCCUUCGGUAAGUGGUAGGGAAUCACUGUACCUUGGGUUUACAAAACUGGAUUGAAUGCAGGGGAUAUAAGUACACAAGGGAGAUAAGUUUGGAAAUGCUUAGCUAUCUCUGGAGUUGGAAAGACGAGAACACAAGAAGAAUGCGUAAAAAACAAAGAAACAAAAAAUAGCAGCAGACACCUAACAUGGGUGAUGAAUAUAACAGUCAGAGCUACGGUGCUUCGUUGAAAGCAAAAGUCUAGAAAAGCAAGUAAGAUAAACUCAUCACAAGCAUCUUUUGAGUCCCUAAAGUCUCCUUUCCUGGGAAGAUUUAAUAGAAGAAUAUGGCAGUCACCCAUCCUCUGGCAUAACAUCUAUAAAUGUGUUAUUCCUCCAUCCCCUACCCAAAACUCUUUCAAGGUGAUCAUUCAAAUGCAUACUUUUCUGCAUAUUAUAAAGUAAUUUUUCGCUUCUUUUGUGUUUUGAUAGAUGUUUCCUGGUAUUUAGCUUCAGAAUGUUUCCUUUUAUGCAUCUGAAACAUUGUCAUUUCUUGGAGACUCUAAUGUGGCUUUAAAAAAAGAGGAUCACUCUGUCCCCAACUGUUACCUGCUCUCCAAGGGAGAGCUCAACCCCAGGAAAUUGGAAGAUCUGGCAACCGAAACCUAAUGAAACUUGAGAUCAACUUGCUGCCACUGAAUAUAACCCUAUGGAGCUGAGGAAAUCACUACUGCCCCCUGUUGGACUCGGUUGGAACAGUCAUUUUCUUGUUUUGAGAUGUGCAUAUUAGUUGCAAAUAAUUCUUAGUUUCUGUCUGUAGUUACACAAAGUUUGUGCUUUAAGUACAGUUUCCACUCUGUUGAUGCUGAAACAAGUUUUUCAAGUAGAUCUGGUUUGGAAUUUGUUCUCUCCUUCCCCAAGUUCCAGAGAUGCUCAACCCCUUCCACUAUCACCAAGAUAACUUCCUUUGCCAAACUAGCAAACAUGUCCAGUUAAAUCAUAAAUUGAACUUAACGUCAACCUCCCAUGGACGCAUUACACAUUACACAUUACAGAUGCCAUUAAUGUGCACAUAUUACACAUUACUUCCUUUGCCAAACUAGCAAACACGUCCAGUUAAUGAUAAAUUGAACUUAAUGUUGACCUCCCACGGACACAUUACAAAGACGUAAUAAUCAAUGUCACAAUUUUCCCUACAAAUCCUACUCAUUGGGUGUGAGAUCUAUCACAAAAAGUUUGUAGAACCUCCCUUCCUGGGAGUUGGUUAAUUUGAGAGAGGUCAUCUCAAAUGGAUCAAAUUCAGGUGUAUCAAAUGGCAGGGAGGAAGAAAUAGACGACUCCUCAGACUCCAUCAAUUACAUUUUUAUUUGUUAUAUCUCAUUCUCUACUUUGCCAGGGAGAACAUAUGAAAUUGGACUUGCAAAGAUGGCGAACCAUCUCUUCCAAAGAGUGUAGAGCGAUACUCCCAUCCCUGCAUCUGACCAUGAACCUGACCCUUUUUAUAGCCCCCACAGUAAAAGCCAAAAUAAAGUAAGAUUGCUUUGUGUGCCCUUGAGGUGGUUUUGGUGCACAGAAAAAAACCAUUCAGC
rnacentral:lncRNA from 10 species